AAUUCUCAACCUUUCCGGCUUUUGCUAGCCGUGUCGGGCUUGGAUGUGGGGGCUGCGGGCUUCUUUCAAGAAGUCGGCUCUCCUUAAAUGCAUUAGUGAGACCUCUGGUUGACCAUCUCUGGUGUGAUAAUUAUCUACGCCGCUGAGAAUCAGCCUUCAUCAUGGGGUCCUGCUUUCUAACCGUCCUCUCGAGGACAACUCCUGACA
rnacentral:misc_RNA from 1 species